GGCUUGGUGGCGUAAUGGUAACGUGCUCUGUGUACCUAUAUGGAAGGUUUGCAUAUUGUUCGACGGAAAGUCUGGAGUUCGAUUCUCCGUCAAGCCA